rnacentral:lncRNA from 1 species
GAGAUUGAGUAAGCUAUUUUAGUUUAGUAAUGAUUCAAAUGGAUUAAUAACAAUAAAAGGUUGUUCAAAUAGGAAUUGGAGAUUGAAGGUUCAUUAUUUUAGAUUUGAGCUUAGAGUCUUAGUUUUUUUAUUUAACCUGGAACUUUCCUAUAUUUUAUGCUUUCCACGAAUUGAACUCUUGUAACUAAACCGUUCUAUAUUCAAUUAAGGAAUAGAGUUCAAAAAGUUUUUGUUUUCAUUGUUUAAUCAGCAAUUUAUUAUUUAUUUAUUUUUCAUAAAUCUAAAACAAAAAAGGUAUUUUGACGACAAAAUAGAAAGAAAAGAACCUAUUUUGCAUCGCUCAAAAUUGACAAUUAGUCAUACAAAAUUUCAUUAAGCAAUUUUCUCUAUUGGGUUAAGGGCAAGAUAUACAUGGGGUCUAUAUAAUAAUUCAGAGAAAAUAAAAAGUUAUAAAGUUAGACAAAACACAAAGGUUGCAAAAUAGAAUCAAUUAGUUUCAAUGAGUUCUUAACUUUCACUAAAGAUUUUUAUAUACGUUCUUCUCUAGAUAUGGAGAGAUGGAAAUAAAAUCAAAAUAUAGAAUUUUUUUUUUAAUUUAAUUCU